CUUGUAAUUGGAAUGAUGGUGACCCAAACCCUCACCAGAGUAGCAAUUGGAGGGCAAGUCUGGUGCCAGCAGCCGCGGUAAUUCCAGCUCCAAUAGCGUAUAUUAAACUUGUUGCAGUUAAAAAGCUCGUAGUUGUAUUUUUGCGUUGACGGUUUGACCAUUUGGUUGGUUAUUUCGUUUUCGCUUUUGGGAAUUUCCCUUUUUACUUUGAGAAAAUUAGAGUGUUUCAAGCAGACUUUUGUCUUGAAUACUUCAGCAUGGAAUAAUAGAGUAGGACUUUGGUUCUAUUUUGUUGGUUAUUGAACCUUAGUAAUGGUUAAUAGGAACGGUUGGGGGCAUUCGUAUUUAAAGAAA
rnacentral:rRNA from 1 species